GGAAAUCCCUCUUCUCCUUCUAUUUUCCUGCUGAUCAACAGCUUUGGCCAAAAAGCUAAAGCUUAUUUCUCUGAAUUUUAUUUUUUAAUUUUUAUGUUCUUUGUUUAUUCAAGUUACACAUCUCUUUAAAAGUUAAAAUGUCAUAGAUCUAAACAAAAAGGGCUAAAUCUGUCUGCAGUUCCCUCCGCUUGAAAUAAUCACCAUUAACAAUUGGGUAAACAUUAUCUUAAUUUCCUCUACGAAUAUGCUAAUAGGUGCUUAUUUUUCUAUGAUGUCUUGUUUCAUAUGCCGCUCCUCUAUGCAAUAUAUACCAAGUAGAAGUGGGCCCAUUGCCCAAUCACCACCGCUUCCCGAUACCCACACCUGGGGCUUCUUUGUGUUCAUGCGUCUUUUCUAACGUUAGGAAUCUGUGUGGACCGCUGCCAACGAGACCCGGACUGUGGGACUGGACAGCAGUGUAUCAUGGUGGGAUGUCGUCGAACCUGCGCUCCAGCCCUGGGACCAGGUGUCUGUGUGGAAGAAUGCCAAAGUCACCGAGACUGUGCUGUAGGACGUCUAUGUGUCAGCAAUGGAUGUGGCCGUGUCUGCCGGCCAGCCCAAGACCAAGUUACAGAAGAAACAAAAAGGGGGUUAGCAGCAAUUCGAUCUCCUCUUCUCCCAGGAUGCUGCGGCUGUUGGCCAUUGGUCCCACUCCCUCUACAGAGCCAGCCCAGUUCUGAAAAGACUGUUUUUCAGAUGGAUCAAGACCCAGAACUUGUCCAAGGUUGCCUCCAGGAACUAAUGGACUUUGUGAUGAAAUGUGUAGAGGAGAUGAAGCUUGUCCCAGGGGACAGAAAUGCUGCAGCCAUGGUGGUGGUGGCCACACCUGCCAAAUCGCUAUUCAAGACAUCAGUAUAAGAUAGAGAGCUGUUUACCGGAAGCAUGGGUCUCUGCUGAUCUUUACAGCACAGAAGGGAACCCAUCCGCCCCUCUGCUCACUGAAGUCUGGGUGGCAUGUGGAGAAAGCUGGUUGGUAGCAAAGAGCAGGAAUUUCUGGAAAGUGUCGUGAAUAUCUUGGUGUUGUAGGAGGAAGAUUUCCUUAUCCGUUUGGAUGAUUAAUCAACCUUAGCCUCCUUCAGUGACCAUUCCCAAAUGUCACCUUUAUGCCGGUACCUGGUGUUGGGCUUUCUACUAUCUUUUCCUGGCUACUUUCUAUUCCUGGAACCCCAGUACCAUAUGAUUAGGAUCUGUAAUAACUUUGGCAUCAGUGUUCAGUUCUGGCAAUUACUACAGAAAUCAUGGGGUGAAUGCUUCCAAAAUAAUCCUUCUUCUGAAUAAAAUUAUUUCUGUGGCAUUAGCCAACCUGAAUCAUCAUUUCUGUGUAAGACUUCAGCUAAUUUACAUUAGUACCUCCACCCCCAACAAGUAUUUAACCCCAACCAGUGGAACCUGUCUCUGUUUCUUUAUCCCUCAGCCCUCAUAUCA
rnacentral:lncRNA from 1 species